rnacentral:rRNA from 1 species
CUGUUGAUUGUGCUAGAGAUACAGUACUCCAGUUCCUGCUCGAAUCAGUUUGGCAUAAGAGGUGGAUGAUUGGGCCAAAAUCUUCCUCUUUCGGACUUCUAUGUUUGGAACAAUAGUCUACCUGGUCAGGUUAACAGAGUUAGUGGCUGUAAAGGAUUUUGGUGAUGAUUCUGGUGAACGACUAAAUGCCCAGUCUAUCUCUAUCGAUUGCAGAAUUGGUAAACCUCUCAUAUGUGGAGUGAUAUUGAUUUGUCGAUAGCUAUCAAAAGGCCAGGAACCAUCUUGCGCUCAACCAGAUUCAUGUUCUUUGAUUCCCUUUUCCAUCAAGGUAAACCCUUCGGUUCCAGUCUGUCUUUGUUCAAUUGUCGUUCUCAACCAGUUUGUAGUCCAUCUGUUCAGAUCACGUACUCCCUCCGAUC